UGUUGGUUCCCUUACGAUCAUUGAAGAUAAGCAACAUUGAGCUUAGUCAAUACCUACAUGGGUGACCGCUUGGGAAUACCAGGUGCUGUAA